rnacentral:rRNA from 1 species
AUUGAACGCUGGCGGCAGGCCUAACACAUGCAAGUCGAGCGAGCGGCGGACGGGUGAGUAAUGUAUGGGGACUGCCCGAUAGAGGGGGAUAACUACUGGAAACGGUGGCUAAUACCGCAUACUAUCGGAUAACCCAUAUGGGAUUAGCUAGUAGGUGGGGUAAAGGGUCACCUAGGCGACGAUCUCUAGCUGGUCUGAGAGGAUGAUCGGCCAAACGGAGACUGAGACACGGCCCAUACUCCUACGGAGGCAGCAGGGGGGAAUAUUGCGCAAUGGGCGCAAGCCUGAUGCAGCCAUGCCGCGAGGAUGAAGAAGGCCUUAGGGUUGUAAAGCUCUUUCAGCGUGGAGGCGUUACCCGCAGAAGAAGCACCGGCUAACUCCGUGCCAGCCGCCGCGGUAAUUC